GCGCCCGUAGCUCAAUUGGAUAGAGCGUCUGACUACGGAUCAGAAGGCUAGGGGUUCAAGUCCUCUCGGGCGCACCA
rnacentral:tRNA from 1 species